rnacentral:rRNA from 1 species
AGUGAACGCUGGCGGUAGGCCUAACACAUGCAAGUCGAACGGCAGCACAGUAAGCGCUUGCUCUUACGGGUGGCGAGUGGCGGACGGGUGAGGAAUACAUCGGAAUCUACUUUUUCGUGGGGGAUAACGUAGGGAAACUUACGCUAAUACCGCAUACGACCUACGGGUGAAAGCAGGGGAUCUUCGGACCUUGCGCGAUUGAAUGAGCCGAUGUCGGAUUAGCUAGUUGGCGGGGUAAAGGCCCACCAAGGCGACGAUCCGUAGCUGGUCUGAGAGGAUGAUCAGCCACACUGGAACUGAGACACGGUCCAGACUCCUACGGGAGGCAGCAGUGGGGAAUAUUGGACAAUGGGCGCAAGCCUGAUCCAGCCAUACCGCGUGGGUGAAGAAGGCCUUCGGGUUGUAAAGCCCUUUUGUUGGGAAAGAAAAGCAGCAUGUUAAUACCCCGCUGUUCUGACGGUACCCAAAGAAUAAGCACCGGCUAACUUCGUG